rnacentral:lncRNA from 1 species
CACUCCUGGCCAGAUCUCCAACAACAAAAUCUUGGCUGUUUCAGUCCAUUCAGGUUGCAGACAGGGUAGCUUAUUACCAGCAGACCCUCACUGCAUGCAGUGCUAGAGGCUAGUAGUCCCGGGCACCAGCAGAUCUGGUGUCUGAUGAAGGUAACUUCCUGGUACACAGACAGUACCUUCUGCUGUGUCACCAUGAGGAGGGGCGAGGAGCUCUCUGGGGUCUGGAUCUGUUUUGUAAGGGCAGUUAUCACACUCACAAGACUCUACCUCCAUGUCCAAGUCACCUCCCAAAGGUCCCAUCACCUAACAUCGUCACUCUGGGAUUAGGAUUGGAGACACAAAUUCCACGGUGAUGGCCCAGAUGACCAGCUGGCUUGUGUCCAGUGGUGUGCUGGUAAGCAGACUCUGCAGGAGAAGGUCAGCAGUGUUAACCAGUGUCACACCCUCUUGUGCUUGGAGGAUAUUUGUUGACCAAAAGUUCAAAGCUCAUGGACAGAAAAGCUAGUGGACUACAUGGCCGGAGAACUCAGCCAAGGUGCUCCAAGGACAGGACAAAGUCCACAGACACAGCUGAGUUUCUGGGUGUGGAUUUCACUUCCUCUUGGUAACUUGUUCCUGGCAGUAAACAAAUACCAUGAGCACAAUUAUAUUGAGUACACAUUCAUGAGAAGUUUUGAGGUAAAUUCAAGUUUCAUCCUGGCCAAUCGGGACGCCACAAGGAGCCAUGUGGAGCCACAGGGAGGGCCAUCCUGACCAGGUGCAGGCUGGAGCCUGCAGACUUAUUGGCAACUGUCAGCAGCAGGCACCGAUGUAGGCCUUCCUACUCUCCUGUAGUGCUUCAGGAAGUCUAUCUGAUGAAAUUCUGUUUCCUCGACAAACAAGGACAUCACCUCGGCAUGGACACCUGCACUUGGCCCUCCCAGCCUGUCCUGGGCACAGCUUCUAGACUGUUGGCUCCCUCUGGCUUUACUGAAGACAACAAUAUUGCAAAGCAGGUGCAGGAGCUUAGAAGGCAGGUGAGUCCAUAUGAGCAGAGUCCUGUGAGAUCUGAAGGUCCAAGCUGCACACGAGAGGGAGCAACACUCCAGGAUAGGUGUGGCCCAGUGGGUGACAACUGGACUGGACCAUCAGAGCAGGCAUAUCUACAGCCUGGUAUUUUGGCUCCUGUUCUCUUUGGAUAGACUUGUGACUUGAGUGUCCGCUUUGUACCCUUCAGGACCUGCUUGCUGUUGCUCCGGAUGCAGUGCAGCCUGAAUGGGUCAUGCUGUGGAGGGGAGCCUGGCACAACAAUGCCCUGUGUGCUCAGAACGCCCAGGCACAGGUUUUGGUGGGGCACAGACACUCUUCUCUGACUCUGUGCCUUUCUCUCUGGCAGCUCUUGGAUUUUGGUGCCAGAGAAUCCUAACUGAGCAAAUAUUUCCUCUAAAACCAAUGUCAUUAUGGUAAAAGAUUAUUGCAGAUAGAAACGGUCUUAUGGGGUAGGUGAAGUGGGAGGGAUAGGGGAAAGGAAAGAAGGGAAAGGAAAAAAUAUGAGAAAAGGAAAAAAUGGAAACAAAGUCUUUGUAAAUAGGGAAGGGUGGAGGGGGUGAAGGGAGGGCAGGGGAAGGGAAAAAAUAAGAACCAAGAUGCAUCAUUUAAAGGUACAGUUCCCAGUGGUGAAUGUAACUGUAUUGCAUACCUAAAAUGUACCAAUAAACUUAAUGAAAAAAAAAGAUUAUUGCAGAUGUAAUCAGUCUAACAACAUGUUGGGCAUUAUACCAAGGAUCAGAAUUAAGAAAUUUCAACAAAGAAUUUUGAACUUCCUCCAGGGUGAUCUUCCAUGGCUUUUGGCCAUAUGUUUAGACUCAAUCAUCCAAGAAUAUCCAGGAUUAAGAACAUUUUUAUAUGCAUAGUAGUUUGUGUCUGUAUGAUUAAUUUAAUACAUACAUUUUGUGUUUUGGAAAGCAGUCAAUCGAAUUAAAUUUA